rnacentral:rRNA from 1 species
UACAGAGGUCUCAAGCGUUGUUCGGAUUCAUUGGGCGUAAAGGGUGCGUAGGUGGCGCGGUAAGUCGGGUGUGAAAUUUCGGAGCUUAACUCCGAAACUGCAUUCGAUACUGCCGUGCUUGAGGACUGGAGAGGAGACUGGAAUUUACGGUGUAGCAGUGAAAUGCGUAGAUAUCAGGAGGAACACCGGUGGCGAAGGCGGAUCUCUGGGCCGAUACUGACGCUGAGGAGCGAAAGCGUGGGGAGCGAACAGG